AAGAAGAAGAACGAAACAAACGACAAAGAAGAAGAAGUAAGAAAGAUGGAAGCAGUAAUGAAGUCAGAAAAAGACCUAAACAUGUUUAAAUCUAAAGGAACCGCCAUAUAUUUACCCAAACACUCCUACUGGUUUGACUUCUGGUUGUUCGUGGUGUUCGACAUCGUGUUUUUCCUCGUCAUGUACUUUAUAAUCCCGUAAAAAAGGUUUGUCCCCUGGAGAGAAAGAGUCCCUGCUGUGAGGAAUGCUAACCGAGCUUCUACUGAUUUUAACACCAUAUUAUGGGAUAUCACGUCCAUGUUUCCACAACUUGGACUAGAACUACAAGUCCGUACAUGUGUCUUCCUGCUGCUUUGACACCAGACAUUUGACCCUCAGAGCUCGGUCUUUCUGCACGGAUGGAUUCACUUUAUUGCUGCUGCGAAGAGACUAACUUCAAGUUGUUUUAUUUAAAAGUGACAAUGGCCCUUCUGAUGACCCCCUGCUGUGAUAACAACAGAUCUUACCUGCACACCGUGGAUCUUACCUGCACACGUGGAUCUUACCUGCACACGUGGAUCUUACCUGCACACCGUGGAUCUUACCUGCACACCGUGGAUCUGACCUGCACACCGUGGAUCUUACCUGCACACCGUGGAUCUUACCUGCACACCGUGGAUCUUACCUGCACACCGUGGAUCUUACCUGCACACCGUGGAUCUUACCUGCACACCGUGGAUCUUACCUGCACACCGUGGAGCUUACCUGCACACCGUGGAUCUUACCUGCACACGUGAUGAUUUGGAAAACGAUUACAGCUCAUUUUGAACGUUUGCACAUGUGACACACUGCAAUAAAAAUGUUUUACCUACGA